UACGUAGGGUCCGAGCGUUGUCCGGAAUUACUGGGCGUAAAGAGCUCGUAGGUGGUUUGUCGCGUUGUUCGUGAAAACUCACAGCUUAACUGUGGGCGUGCGGGCGAUACGGGCAGACUAGAGUACUGCAGGGGAGACUGGAAUUCCUGGUGUAGCGGUGGAAUGCGCAGAUAUCAGGAGGAACACCGGUGGCGAAGGCGGGUCUCUGGGCCGAUACUGACGCUGAGGAGCGAAAGCGUGGGGAGCGAAAAGG
rnacentral:rRNA from 1 species